GCUCACAUUAUGCUUGUUCAAAGCUGGUCUAUAACCUGUCCUGAAAAAUGACUGAUGGGUUUAAAAUAGAAAUCCCUGAAAGUAGAUUCUAAAGACUAGUCCGCUGCUUUCAGAAUGUCUUCCAAUCUACAACCUACAGAUGAGGCUUUAGAGGCCAUAGCCCCCCGAACAGAGUGUGGGGAAAACAUGGAAACAUCAAUAUCCG